rnacentral:rRNA from 1 species
UACGGAGGGUGCAAGCGUUAUCCGGAUUCACUGGGUUUAAAGGGUGCGUAGGCGGGUAUAUAAGUCAGCGGUGAAAUCUCCGGGCUCAACCCGGAAACUGCCAUUGAUACUAUUGGUCUUGAAUAUUGUGAGGUGGGCGGAACGGGUCAUGUAGCGGUGAAAUGCUUAGAGAUGACCCGGAACACCGAUUGCGAAGGCAGCCCACUACGCAAUGAUUGACGCUGAGGCACGAAAGCGUGGGGAUCAAACAGG